rnacentral:rRNA from 1 species
UACGAAGGGGGCUAGCGUUGCUCGGAAUCACUGGGCGUAAAGCGCACGUAGGCGGCUUUCUAAGUCGGGGGUGAAAUCCCGGAGCUCAACUCCGGAACUGCCUUCGAUACUGGAAAGCUUGAGUCCGGGAGAGGUGAGUGGAACUGCGAGUGUAGAGGUGAAAUUCGUAGAUAUUCGCAAGAACACCAGUGGCGAAGGCGGCUCACUGGCCCGGUACUGACGCUGAGGUGCGAAAGCGUGGGGAGCAAACAGG